rnacentral:rRNA from 1 species
ACUCCUACGGGAGGCAGCAGUGGGGAAUAUUGCACAAUGGGCGGAAGCCUGAUGCAGCAACGCCGCGUGCGGGAUGACGGCCUUCGGGUUGUAAACCGCUUUCGCCUGUGACGAAGCGUGGAGUGAGACGGGUAAAUGGGUAAAGAACGGCAACCGGCUAACUGACGUGCCAGCAGCCGCGGUGAUACGUAGGGUGCGAGCGUUGUCCGGAUUUAUUGGGCGUAAAGGGCUCGUAGGUGGUUGAUCGCGUCGGAAGUGUAAUCUUGGGGCUUAACCCUGAGCGUGCUUUCGAUACGGGUUGACUUGAGGAAGGUAGGGGAGAAUGGAAUUCCUGGUGGAGCGGUGGAAUGCGCAGAUAUCAGGAGGAACACCAGUGGCGAAGGCGGUUCUCUGGGCCUUUCCUGACGCUGAGGAGCGAAAGCGUGGGGAGCGAACAGGCUUAGAUACCCUGGUAGCUACGAG